AGAUGAUAAAUAGAUAUAACUAUAUUUGGUUGCGGAUCAAAGUGAUAAACAUCUU
rnacentral:tRNA from 1 species